UGAAAUUAAGCAUAUCAAUAAGCGGAGGAAAAGAAACCAACCGGGAUUGCCCCAGUAACGGCGAGUGAAGCGGCAAGAGCUCAAAUUUGAAAUCUGGCCCCUCCGGGGUCCGAGUUGUAAUUUGCAGAGGAUGCUUCGGGUGCGGCCCCUGUCUAAGUGCCCUGGAACGGGCCGUCAGAGAGGGUGAGAAUCCCGUCUUGGGCAGGGUGCCCGUGCCCGUGUGAAGCUCCUUCGACGAGUCGAGUUGUUUGGGAAUGCAGCUCUAAAUGGGUGGUAAAUUUCAUCUAAAGCUAAAUACCGGCCGGAGACCGAUAGCGCACAAGUAGAGUGAUCGAAAGAUGAAAAGCACUUUGAAAAGAGAGUUAAACAGCACGUGAAAUUGUUGAAAGGGAAGCGCUUGCGACCAGACUCGGCCUCGGGGUUCAGCCAGCAUUCGUGCUGGUGUACUUCCCCGGGGCCGGGCCAGCGUCGGUUCGGGCGGCCGGUCAAAGGCCCCAGGAAUGUAUCGUCCUCCGGGACGUCUUAUAGCCUGGGGUGCAAUGCGGCCAGCCUGGACCGAGGAACGCGCUUCGGCACGGACGCUGGCGUAAUGGUCACAAACGACCCGUCUUGAAACACGGACCAAGGAGUCUAACAUCUACGCGAGUGUUCGGGUGUCAAACCCGUACGCGCAGUGAAAGCGAACGGAGGUGGGAGCCCCUUUGGGGCGCACCAUCGACCGAUCCUGAUGUCUUCGGAUGGAUUUGAGUACGAGCGUAGCUGUGGGGACCCGAAAGAUGGUGAACUAUGCCUGAAUAGGGUGAAGCCAGAGGAAACUCUGGUGGAGGCUCGCAGCGGUUCUGACGUGCAAAUCGAUCGUCAAAUUUGGGUAUAGGGGCGAAAGACUAAUCGAACCAUCU
rnacentral:rRNA from 1 species